rnacentral:ncRNA from 2 species
UAUCUUUGUCUUGCAUUUGGUUUUUAUUUCGCACGACCUUAAAAGUGACUGCGAAUAAAAUGAAAAGGGAAUGCCGUGCAAGUCGGCAACAGUUCCCGCUGCUGUAAACUCUAUACAAAAACCUUUGCGCAAUACUCAAUCCACUGGUCUGGCUUCUUCCUUUGCGAGAGGAAGGAAGUUUUAAAGGCCGGGAAGGACGCGCAAAAGGAGAGUAAGUCAGAAGACCUGCCAAAUGUUUGCACUUUUU